rnacentral:rRNA from 1 species
UGCAGUCGAACGAUGACGAAGAGCUUGCUCUUUUGAUUAGUGGCGCACGGGUGAGUAUACCAUAGAUAAUGUACCCCUUAGUUCGGGAUAGCCACUGGAAACGGUGAUUAAUACCGGAUACUCCUUCUCAUUAUAAGAUGAGUCGGGAAAGUUUUUUCGCUAAGGGAUUAGUCUAUGUCCUAUCAGCUAGUUGGUGAGGUAAUGGCUCACCAAGGCUAUGACGGGUAUCUGGUUUGAGAGGAUGAUCAGACACACUGGAACUGAGACACGGUCCAGACUCCUACGGGAGGCAGCAGUGAGGAAUAUUGCACAAUGGAGGAAACUCUGAUGCAGCAACGCCGCGUGGAGGAUGACGCAUUUCGGUGUGUAAACUCCUUUUAUUAGGGAAGAUAAUGACGGUACCUAAUGAAUAAGCACCGGCUAACUCCGUGCCAGCAGCCGCGGUAAUACGGAGGGUGCAAGCGUUACUCGGAAUCACUGGGCGUAAAGGGUGCGUAGGCUGGCUUCUAAGUCAGAUGUGAAAUCCAAUGGCUCAACCAUUGAACUGCAUUUGAAACUGGGAGCCUAGAGUUCAGAAGGGGCAGAUGGAAUUAGUGGUGUAGGGGUAAAAUCCGUAGAUAUCACUAGGAAUAUCAAAAGCGAAGGCGAUCUGCUGGGAUGAUACUGACGCUGAGGCACGAAAGCGUGGGGAGCAAACAGGAUUAGAUACCCUGGUAGUCCACGCCCUAAACGAUGAAUGCUAGUCGUCGGGAAGCUCGUCUUUUCGGUGACGCACUUAACAGAUUAAGCAUUCCGCCUGGGGAGUACGGUCGCAAGAUUAAAACUCAAAGGAAUAGACGGGGACCCGCACAAGUGGUGGAGCAUGUGGUUUAAUUCGAAGAUACACGAAGAACCUUACCUGGCCUUGACAUCCCNAGAACUUUCCAGAGAUGGAUUGGUGCUAGCUUGCUAGAACU